rnacentral:rRNA from 1 species
AUGGGGUUCGUGCUGGUGAUCUCGCUGCCCUUCAUAUUCUUCACCAUCCUGCUCGGCUUCGGCUGCUACUUCCUCGGCAAGCACAAGGGCCGCGAGGAGAUGCGCGCCGGCGUCGGGGCCCAGAUCUACGGCACGCCCCUGCCGCCGCCCGGCGUCGCCGGGCAGUCCCCGGGGCCGUACCCGGCACCGCUGAAGAAGGAAGGCCCCGACGCCGUCUGA